ensembl:lncRNA
AUUUAUGAUACAGGAAUGUUUUAAUCAAUGAAUUUUCUAUUCCCUUUGUACUAUUUGUAUGUAGGUAUCCUGAGGCUCUUAUAUUUUUUAUUGCAUAAUUACAAGUUGUUUUCCUAUCUACUCACAUCUCAGGCCUUCAGGAAAAGAAAUUACAAGAAUCAAGUCUGACCACUGUUUAUCAAAACUUCUAAGUCAUAGUUUCUUUCCCAGUACCCUAUGACUCAGGUUAUAUAUAUAUUCUAUGCUGAAGGAUGUUAACCUUUAAUCAAUCUGUUUUUUGAACACAUACAAGAAUACCUUGCAUUAUUUUCCUUUCACUUGUUUUGAAGAACCUCUUGCCUUUCCUCUUUCACCUCUUUGAUCUAAUGUGAUUUCUAGCACAGUUCUUAAACUCAAUAACUCAGCAUUAGAUUACUUAUACUUUUUCAUCCUUUCUUUAUCCUAGGUUUGUUGUUGUUGUUGUAGUUGUUUGUUUUGUUUUUGCUAGACUCCACACAUGCACUGCAGAAUGGUUUUGAUGCACCUGCAUUUUAAAACAACAUUGUAUAUCUUUGCAAACUUUGUGGAAGUGUAUGAUUGGGAUUCUGGAGAUAAAAUCAUCAGCGAUUCUAGCUUGGGGCCAAACAUGAUUCUAAAAAACAACUCUGGCUUGAUGAUGGAUAUAUGGUACUGAUGUCCAAAAUGAAAUAAACUAUACUAUGCAUAUAAUGUGCAUAUUAGUUUAUUACCCUCUAUUAUUCAAACAUUUCUAACUAUCCUGCAAAAGGCUGGUACUGAAGUUUAUUAUGUGACAGAAAACCUACAACUGUCUUGACAGUAGAAAAAAAAGAAUGAAUCUGCCUCUAAUUAGGCAUCAGUAACAAAACUUAAGCUUAGGAGGUAUGUUGUCUAAUUACUUCUAAGUAUAAAUAAAAGAGUUUUGUACAUGAACAUAUUUUAGUGUGCCUUUUAAUCAAUG